rnacentral:rRNA from 1 species
AUUGAACGCUGGCGGCAGGCCUAACACAUGCAAGUCGAACGGUAACAGGAAGCAGCUUGCUGUUUUGCUGACGAGUGGCGGACGGGUGAGUAAUGUCUGGGAAACUGCCUGAUGGAGGGGGAUAACUACUGGAAACGGUAGCUAAUACCGCAUAACGUCGCAAGACCAAAGAGGGGGACCUUAGGGCCUCUUGCCAUCGGAUGUGCCCAGAUGGGAUUAGCUAGUAGGUGGGGUAACGGCUCACCUAGGCGACGAUCCCUAGCUGGUCUGAGAGGAUGACCAGCCACACUGGAACUGAGACACGGUCCAGACUCCUACGGGAGGCAGCAGUGGGGAAUAUUGCACAAUGGGCGCAAGCCUGAUGCAGCCAUGCCGCGUGUAUGAAGAAGGCC